rnacentral:rRNA from 1 species
UACGAAGGGUGCUAGCGUUGUUCGGAAUUACUGGGCGUAAAGCGCAUGUAGGCGGAUAUUUAAGUCAGGGGUGAAAUCCCGCAGCUCAACUGCGGAACUGCCUUUGAUACUGGGUAUCUUGAGUAUGGAAGAGGUGAGUGGAAUUCCGAGUGUAGAGGUGAAAUUCGUAGAUAUUCGGAGGAACACCAGUGGCGAAGGCGGCUCACUGGUCCAUUACUGACGCUGAGGUGCGAAAGCGUGGGGAGCAAACAGG